UUCAACGGCCGCGGUAUUCUAACCGUGCAAAGGUAGCGUAAUCACUUGUCUCUUAAAUAGAGACUAGUAUGAACGGCUAAAUGAGGACAAGCCUGUCUCCUACAACCAAUCAGUGAAACUGAUCUUCCAGUCCAAAAGCUGAAAUACAAACACAAGACGAGAAGACCCUGUGGAGCUUUAAACCCACUACCAACCAAUUCACCUGGUAUAACGUUUUAAGUUGGGGCGACUUCGGAAAAAAACAAAACUUCCGAGACCAGAACCACCACUUCCAAGUGAGGCAGACAUGCCAAAACAAAUUAAGACCCAGUCACACUGAUCAACGAACCAAGUUACCCCAGGGAUAACAGCGCUAUCUUCUUCAAGAGUCCAUAUCGACAAGAAGGUUUACGACCUCGAUGUUGGAUCAGGACACCCAAAUGGUGCAGCCGCUAUUAAAGGUUCGUUUGUUCAACGAUUAA
rnacentral:rRNA from 1 species